AGCGAACGCUGGCGGCAGGCCUAACACAUGCAAGUCGAACGAACUCUUCGGAGUUAGUGGCGGACGGGUGAGUAACACGUGGGAACGUGCCUUUUGGUUCGGAAUAACUCAGGGAAACUUGUGCUAAUACCGAAUGUGCCCUUCGGGGGAAAGAUUUAUCGCCAUUAGAGCGGCCCGCGUCUGUUUAGCUAGUUGGUGAGGUAACGGCUCACCAAGGCGACGAUCAGUAGCUGGUCUGAGAGGAUGACCAGCCACACUGGGACUGAGACACGGCCCAGACUCCUACGGGAGGCAGCAGUGGGGAAUCUUGCGCAAGGGGCGAAAGCCUGACGCAGCCAUGCCGCGUGAAUGAUGAAGGUCUUAGGAUUGUAAAAUUCUUUCACCGGGGACGAUAAUGACGGUACCCGGAGAAGAAGCCCCGGCUAACUUCGUG
rnacentral:rRNA from 1 species